rnacentral:rRNA from 1 species
UAAACUCCUGUUGUUGAGGAAGAUAAUGACGGUACUCAACAAGGAAGUGACGGCUAACUACGUGCCAGCAGCCGCGGUAAAACGUAGGUCACAAGCGUUGUCCGGAAUUACUGGGUGUAAAGGGAGCGCAGGCGGGAGAACAAGUUGGAAGUGAAAUCCAUGGGCUCAACCCAUGAACUGCUUUCAAAACUGUUUUUCUUGAGUAGUGCAGAGGUAGGCGGAAUUCCCGGUGUAGCGGUGGAAUGCGUAGAUAUCGGGAGGAACACCAGUGGCGAAGGCGGCCUACUGGGCACCAACUGACGCUGAGGCUCGAAAGUGUGGGUAGCAAACAGGAUUAGAUACCCUGGUAGUCCACACCGUAAACGAUGAUUACUAGGUGUUGGAGGAUUGACCCCUUCAGUGCCGCAGUUAACACAAUAAGUAAUCCACCUGGGGAGUACGACCGCAAGGUUGAAACUCAAAGGAAUUGACGGGGGCCCGCACAAGCAGUGGAGUAUGUGGUUUAAUUCGACGCAACGCGAAGAACCUUACCAAGUCUUGACAUCCCUUGACGAACAUAGAAAUAUGUUUUCUCUUCGGAGCAAGGAGACAGGUGGUGCAUGGUUGUCGUCAGCUCGUGUCGUGAGAUGUUGGGUUAAGUCCCGCAACGAGCGCAACCCUUAUGGUCAGUUACUACGCAAGAGGACUCUGGCCAGACUGCG